rnacentral:snRNA from 1 species
CAAACUGUCUCACGGAAGGAGACCA